rnacentral:rRNA from 1 species
CCUACGGGUGGCAGCAGUGAGGAAUAUUGGUCAAUGGGCGCAAGCCUGAACCAGCCAAGCCGCGUGAAGGAAGACUGCUCUAUGGGUUGUAAACUUCUUUUAUACAGGAAUAAAGUGAGGCACGUGUGCCUUGUUGUAUGUACUUUAUGAAUAAGGAUCGGCUAACUCCGUGCCAGCAGCCGCGGUAAUACGGAGGAUCCAAGCGUUAUCCGGAUUUAUUGGGUUUAAAGGGUGCGUAGGCGGGUUGUUAAGUUAGUUGUGAAAUUUUGGGGCUCAACCGUAGAAUUGCAUUUGAUACUGGCAGUCUUGAGUACAGGUGAGGUAGGCGGAAUGCAUGGUGUAGCGGUGAAAUGCUUAGAGAUCACAAAGAACUCCGAUUGCGAAGGCAGCUUACUAAACUACCACUGACGUUGAUGCUCGAAAGUGUGGGGAUCAAACAGGAUUAGAUACCCUUGUAGUC